rnacentral:tRNA from 1 species
GGCGGAUGUAGCCAAGUGGAUUAAGGCAGUGGAUUGUGAAUCCACCACGCGCGGGUUCAAUUCCCGUCGUUCGCCCAAAACUAAACUAAUGAAACAGUUUACU